rnacentral:lncRNA from 1 species
UUGUCUGAAAAUGAUGAUGAUCUACCUUUCAAAAUAUUCGGAUUUACGUCAACGACUCUAUGAUCAUUCGAAUGAGAGAUGGGAUCAUCAGUUUCGAUGGUGACUGGCCGGAAACAAAUGAGGAGCUUGUUCUUCAUUUUCUGAUUCAGUUGAAUGGAUUUGUGGGAAAGGAGUUUAACGGGAUAAACAGUUCAGAAGUGGAAUAGAGUAACUGAGUGAGUACUGAUAAGGGAAUUAAACAGGG